AUUGAACGCUGGCGGCAUGCCUUACACAUGCAAGUCGAACGGCAGCACGGGAGCAAUCCUGGUGGCGAGUGGCGAACGGGUGAGUAAAGUAUCGGAACGUGCCCAGUCGUGGGGGAUAACGUAGCGAAAGUUACGCUAAUACCGCAUACGAUCUAUGGAUGAAAGCGGGGGAUCGCAAGACCUCGCGCGAUUGGAGCGGCCGAUAUCAGAUUAGGUAGUUGGUGGGGUAAAGGCUCACCAAGCCGACGAUCUGUAGCUGGUCUGAGAGGACGACCAGCCACACUGGGACUGAGACACGGCCCAGACUCCUACGGGAGGCAGCAGUGGGGAAUUUUGGACAAUGGGCGCAAGCCUGAUCCAGCCAUGCCGCGUGCAGGAUGAAGGCCUUCGGGUUGUAAACUGCUUUUGUACGGAACGAAAAGGUUUGGCCUAAUAAGCUGAGCUCAUGACGGUACCGUAAGAAUAAGCACCGGCUAACUACGUG
rnacentral:rRNA from 1 species